rnacentral:rRNA from 1 species
CUUUUUUAUCGGGGGGGAAAGAAUUGGAUUUUUUGCGGUUGCUAAUUCGACAAAUGGGCAUGCAGCCGCGGAAGAAAAGGAGGACAAGGGCGAAUAUUAAAGUGUUGUGGUGAGAAGAAGGGGCACACAAACCUUGGUCCCGGGGGGCCAGCCCGCCUCACCGCGUGCACUGGUCCGGCCGGGGCUUUCCCUCUCGGGGGCCCCAUACCCUUCACUGGGGGUGGCGGGGGAAGCAGGACAUUUACUUUGAAAAUAUUAGAGUGCUCCAGGCAGGCCUAUGCUCGAAUACAUUAGCAUGGAAUAACAAAAUAGGACGCGCGGUGCUAUUUUGUUGGUUAUAGGACCGCCGUAAUGAUUAAUAGGGACAGUCGGUGGCAUCAGUAUUCAACUGUCAGAGGUGAAAUUCUUGGAUCAGUUGAAGACUAACUACUGCGAAAGCACUUUGCCAGGGAUGCUUUCAUUAAUCAGGAACGGAAGUCAUGGGAUCGAAGACGAUCAGAAACCGGCGUAUCUUAACCAUGAACGAUGGCGAGUAGGGGAUCGGUACGUUGUAUUUUGGAACGGUCCGGCCCCCUGGCGAAGAAAUCAAAAGGCUUGGGCUCCAGGGGGGAGUAUGUCCGCAAGGGUUGAAACCUAAACCAAAUGGCGGAAGGGCACGACCAGGGGUGGAAGCCUUGUGGUUAAUUUUGACUCACCACGGGGAAACUUCCCCAAGGUCCAGGACACAAUAAGGGAUUGAUCAGAUUGAGAGCUCCUUUCUUUGAUUUUUUCGGGUGGUGGGGCAUUGGCCGGUCCUAAUGUUUGGUGGGCGCCGACUUGGCCUGCUUAAAUCGCAGAAUAACGAACGAAGAAACUUUUAACCAUGGCCAAAUAAUAGCCGCGCCAUUGUGAUCCCGUCAGGUGCUCGCUUGCUUCUUUAAAAAGGGGCCACUUUCGGAGCUUCAAGGC